rnacentral:rRNA from 1 species
AUAACUUUCAACAACGGAUCUCUUGGCUCUCGCAUCGAUGAAGAACGCAGCGAAAUGCGAUAAGUAAUGUGAAUUGCAGAAUUCAGUGAAUCAUCGAAUCUUUGAACGCACCUUGCGCUCCUUGGUAUUCCGAGGAGCAUGCCUGUUUGAGUGUCAUUAAU